rnacentral:rRNA from 1 species
UACGAAGGGGGCUAGCGUUGUUCGGAAUUACUGGGCGUAAAGCGCGCGUAGGCGGUUUUGCAAGCCAGAGGUGAAAUGCCUGAGCUCAACUUAGGAAUUGCCUUUGGGACUGUGAGGCUUUGAGGACGGAAGAGGUGAGUGGAAUUCCCAGUGUAGAGGUGAAAUUCGUAGAUAUUGGGAAGAACACCGGUGGCGAAGGCGGCUCACUGGUCCGUUUCUGACGCUAAAGCGCGAAAGCGUGGGGAGCGAACAGG